UACAGAGGUCCCAAGCGUUGUUCGGAAUCAUUGGGCGUAAAGAGCGUGUAGGCGGUCCGGUAAGUCCGCUGUGAAAGUCGGGGGCUCAACCCUCGAAUGCCGGUGGAUACUGUCGGGCUAGAGUGCGGAAGAGGCGAGUGGAAUUCCUGGUGUAGCGGUGAGAUGCGCAGAUAUCAGGAGGAACACCUAUUGCGAAGGCAGCUCGCUGGGACGUAACUGACGCUGAGACGCGAAAGCGUGGGGAGCAAACAGG
rnacentral:rRNA from 1 species